rnacentral:rRNA from 1 species
GAAGUCGUAACAAGGUUUCCGUAGGUGAACUGCGGAAGGAUCAUUGUCGAAACCUGCACAGCAGAACGACCCGCGAAUCUGUUUACCAAACCCCGAGGGGUGGGGCCAGCCCCGUCCCCCUCGUCGCCCGAGCGUGCCGCCUCCCCCUCCCCGUCAAAAGGGCGGUGGAGCAGCGCGGGAAGGCAAGUACCCAAACACCGGCGCGGGUUGCGCCAAGGACUAUGAAAUUCUACCGCGUCCCGCGGCCCUGGGCGACCGGGCGCCGCGGCGAGGGCGCGUCGAAAGAUCUAUAACAAAACGACUCUCGGCAACGGAUAUCUCGGCUCUCGCAUCGAUGAAGAACGUAGCGAAAUGCGAUACUUGGUGUGAAUUGCAGAAUCCCGUGAACCAUCGAGUCUUUGAACGCAAGUUGCGCCCGAAGCCAUCCGGCCGAGGGCACGUCUGCCUGGGCGUCACGCAUCGCGUCGCCCCCUCCCCCUCUUCAACUGAUGUCGAGCGGAGAGAGGGGCGGAUUAUGGCCCCCCGUGCGCCCCCGCGCGCGGCCGGCCUAAACACGGAGCCCGUGGCCGCGAGCGCCGCGACGUUUGGUGGUUGAAUCUCGAGCAUCGCGUCGCGUGCAGGAGCAUCCCCGGAGAGCUCGGAGGACCCUUAGGCGCAGCAGCAGCCUACCCUUGCGACCCCAGGUCAGGCGGGACUACCCGCUGAGUUUA